UGCUUUCUCCUUCAGUCUUUUCGAUACGACGAACGCGAGCUGGCUGACUCUAUUUCGGUACGUGCGCAUUGUGUUUCAGCCUCGUGGUUGCUUAGUUGAGCAAUUGAUCGCGAGCACUGGUCUGUGUUAUUCUUGUGCCAUCGAGAAAGUGUGUAACCUUGAAGUUCGUGGAACUCCACAUUGCACUGGAGCUCGCAGGCAAGUAAAUCAGUCUGUGCAGCGUAUCCGGCGGCACCGUAUCUACGGUUGUGGCCCUAGUGGGCUCGCUCCGUUCUUGCGCAGGAGACAUCUGGUUCAGCUGGCACGGAAGCGCAAGUAUUGAUUACUUCUUCGUUGACAACGAGUAUGGCCGACACCAUUGGUGCGCGCUUUGCCCUCGAGGCAGUCUGUCAGCGGCAGCAUGGCUAAUGAUCUCGGAGACGCUGAAUAAAUGACGGCCGACGGGGAAA
rnacentral:lncRNA from 1 species